AGAACUUAGCAGAGAUGCUUUGGUGCCUUCGGGGAACUCUGAGACAGGUGCUGCAUGGCUGUCGUCAGCUCGUGUUGUGAAAUGUUGGGUUAAGUCCCGCAACGAGCGCAACCCUUAUCCUUUGUUGCCAGCGGUUAGGCCGGGAACUCAAGGAGACUGCCAGUGAUAAACUGGAGGAAGGUGGGGAUGACGUCAAGUCAUCAUGGCCCUUACGAGUAGGGCUACACACGUGCUACAAUGGCGCAUACAAAGAGAAGCGACCUCGCGAGAGCAAGCGGACCUCAUAAAGUGCGUCGUAGUCCGGAUUGGAGUCUGCAACUCGACUCCAUGAAGUCGGAAUCGCUAGUAAUCGUGGAUCAGAAUGCCACGGUGAAUACGUUCCCGGGCCUUGUACACACCGCCCGUCACACCAUGGGAGUGGGUUGCAAAAGAAGUAGGUAGCUUAACCUUCGGGAGGGCGCUUACCACUUUGUGAUUCAUGACUGGGGUGAAGUCGUAACAAGGUAAGCGUAGUGCU
rnacentral:rRNA from 1 species